AUGGGGUGCAGCAGGCGCGAAAACUUGGCAAUGCGAGAAAUCGUGGCCAGGGAACUCCAAGUGGCUGGGGUAAGACCCAGUCUUUUCUUGACUCUUCAAAGGUCUUGGAAUAAGAGGUGGGUAAGGACGGUGCCAGCCGCCGCGGUAAUACCGGCGCCUCAAGUGGUAGUCGAUUUUAUUGGGCCUAAAACGUCCGUAGCCUGUUUGGUACAUUCGUGGGUAAAUCAACCAGCUCAACUGGUUGAAUUCUGCGAGCACGGCCAGACUUGGGACCGGGAGAGGUGUGGGGUACGCUCAGGGUAGGGGUAAAAUCCUGUCAUCCUGAGCGGACCACCUGUUGCGAAGGCGCCACACUAGAACGGAUCCGACGGUCAGGGACGAAGCCUAGGGGCACGAACCGGAUUAGAUACCCGGGUAGUCCUAGGUGUAAACGCUGUGGACUUGGUGUUGGGGAUUCUCCGAGGAUUCUCAGUGCCGAAGCGAAGGUGAUAAGUCCACUGCCUGGGGAGUACGGUCGCAAGGCUGAAACUUAAAGGAAUUGGCGGGGGAGCAC
rnacentral:rRNA from 1 species